rnacentral:rRNA from 1 species
GAUGAACGCUGGCGGCGUGCCUAACACAUGCAAGUCGAGCGAUUCUYUUCGGAGAAGAGCGGCGGACGGGUGAGUAACGCGUGGGUAACCUACCCUGUACACACGGAUAACAUACCGAAAGGUAUGCUAAUACGGGAUGAUAUAUAGAAAUCGCAUGAUUUUUAUAUCAAAGAUUUAUCGGUACAGGAUGGACCCGCGUCUGAUUAGCUUGUUGGCGGGGUAACGGCCCACCAAGGCGACGAUCAGUAGCCGACCUGAGAGGGUGAUCGGCCACAUUGGAACUGAGACACGGUCCAAACUCCUACGGGAGGCAGCAGUGGGGAAUAUUGCACAAUGGGCGCAAGCCKGAUGCAGCAACGCCGCGUGAGCGAUGAAGGCCUUCGGGUCGUAAAKCUYUGUCCUCAAGGAAGAU